AUAUGCAGCCCCAGGGCUGCAUGCGGCCCGCAUGGAAUCACUGUGGGGCCCGUGGCAAGCGGUGGGGUGGGGCUGCUGGGCUUGCCCCCUGCCCGGGGCGGGCCCUGCCUCAUAGCCCUGCGCUAACGGCCAGAACCGCACGUGUCUCCGUCUCCCGCUCCCCCCACUUGGCGUACAGCGGGUGCAUCACUUCCGGGGCCCACUGAGGCGGGAAGCGCUGGGCACGAGGCAGAGCCGACAUUCUGCCAGCAGAAGAAGUCGUGAAAUCGAUUGCAUGACUGAUGAGUUCUCAACUCCUUGUUGCCAGCUCUAUUGGCUGCUCUGGAAGGGAGAGGAGCAAGCAGCAUCGUUCCUGACUAGUGACGAAUUUCCAGGCGUGCGAGAGCAGCUGUAGAAGUCCAGAAGCUUUGCAGGCCCACCAUGCCAGGGAGAAAUGUACUGAAGAUUAAAGACCUUUCACAAGACUCUGUAUGCCACUGAGCUCUUCAGCAAUGACACAACGGAGCGGAGUGCGGUGGGAGAGACAUCAGACCCUGGUGAAACCCAUUGCGGUGACUGAUGCGCUAGAUGGAGCUAACUCCCGAGCAGGAGACCUGGCACCUUUUCCCUUGGCAACAGAAUGAGCUAAGGAGGGACGGGUAAAAGA